GGGGGUGUAGCUCAGAUGGUAGAGCGCGCGCUUAGCAUACGCGAGGUACCGGGAUCGAUACCCGGCACCUCCA
rnacentral:tRNA from 1 species